AUUGAACGCUGGCGGCAUGCCUUACACAUGCAAGUCGAACGGCAGCAUGAUCUACUUUGCUAGAUUGCUGGCGCGUGGCGAACGGGUGUGAAAUACAUCGGAACGUGCUCUGUAGCUGGGGAUAACUCGUCGAAAGAGUAGCUAAUACCGCAAAUGACCUGAGCGUGAAGGUGGGGUACUGCAAGGCGUCUUUGCUUUGGAUCGUCCGUUGUCCGAUUAGCUAGUUGGUGAGGUAAAGGCUCACCAAGGCGACGAUCAGUAGCUGGUCUGAGAGGAUGAUCAGCCACACUGGGACUGAGACACGGCCCAGACUCCUACGGGAGGCAGCAGUGGGGAAUUUUGGACAAUGGGCGAAAGCCUGAUCCAGCAAUGCCGCGUGUGUGAAGAAGGCCUUCGGGUUGUAAAGCACUGUUGUCAGGAAAGAAAUGACUCGGGUGAAUACCUGGGGUCGAUGACGGUACCGGAAGAAUAAGCACCGGCUAACUACGUG
rnacentral:rRNA from 1 species